AUACCUUUCUCGGCCUUUUGGCUAAGAUCAAGUGUAGUAUCUGUUCUUAUCAGUUUAAUAUCUGAUAUGUGAGUUAUUGACUCACACGAUAUUAACUUAAUUUUUUAGGGGGAAGGUCAAUUAGAGUAGCUUGCUACUUGGGUCUUCGUGUGUCGCCUAGGUGUUGCACUAUAGCCUUGGCCUGGAGCACCCCAC
rnacentral:snRNA from 1 species